rnacentral:rRNA from 1 species
AGCUCCAAUAGCGUAUAUUAAAGUUGUUGCAGUUAAAAGCUCGUAGUCGCAUUUCGGGUCGGAAGGAUCGGUCUGCCGAUGGGUAUGCACUGAUCGUUCCGGUCUUUUUUCUGGAGACCGUGGAUGCACUUGAUUGUGUGUUUGCGGGAGACAGAUGUUUUACUUUGAGAAAAUCAGAGUGUUCAAAGCAGGCGGAGAUUGCUCUUGCAUGGAUUAGCAUGGGAUAAUGAAAUAGGACUUUGGUGCUAUUUUGUUGGUUUCGAGUACCGAAGUAAUGAUGAAUAGGGAUAGUCAGGGGCACUUGUAUUCCGUUGAGAGAGGUGAAAUUCUUAGACCAACGGAAGACAAACUACUGCGAAAGCAUUUGCCAGGGAUGUUUUCA